rnacentral:rRNA from 1 species
UACAGAGGGUGCAAGCGUUGUUCGGAAUUAUUGGGCGUAAAGCGCGUGUAGGCGGCUUUGCAAGUCGGGUGUGAAAUCCCUCAGCUUAACUGAGGAAGUGCGCCCGAAACUGCUUUGCUUGAGUGCCGGAGAGGAUGGCGGAAUUCCCAAGUAGAGGUGAAAUUCGUAGAUAUGGGGAGGAACACCGGUGGCGAAGGCGGCCAUCUGGACGGUAACUGACGCUGAGGAGCGAAAGCGUGGGAGCAAACAGG